UUCCCAGAGCCCAUGGACAGGAAAUCUGAUCACAGGCCACUCGGUCACUCUAAUCACUCUUUCUGUGGUCUGAGAGAGAGGCAGCUAGCAGAAGACGGCUUGGGAGAAGAGGACAGGAGGAGAGGAGAGCCUGCAACAAAGCAUGGAUCUCUCCUCAUGGCAGCUGUAGGAAACACAGGAACUCCGUGACCUGGAAAAUGUGGGACAACUGCCACAAGGUGACCCUGGAAGGCUGGGGUUGAAUACCAGUAGAAACCUCAUAUUUACCUGGAAGAUUACUUUUAGGAAGCUUGAAGAAUUCUCUCUUCCAACUUGGUUGGAUUUCCUGUAAGAUUUUAAAUGAAGAAAGUCUUCUACUGCUGUAUAAAGAAAAAAAAAAAGAAGAAGAAAGGGAUGGAUCUCACUAUGUUGCCAAGGCUGGCUCGAGAACUCCUGGGCUCAACCAAUCCUCCUGCCUCAGCCUCCCAAAUAGCUGGGACUACAGAAUGGACUUUUCAUCCAUGUGGCUGUGAUCAGUUCCUAAAGCAGAGGAAUCUGCAGCCUAAUGACACAUCAGGAAUUGAUGGAGCCCCAGUGGACAGCUUCUAUGAGGUGUGUGGGUGGCGGAUGUGAAAUCAAUAAAAAAAAAAAGAAUAAUUUUUUUGUUGUUUUUGUUCACUGUCAUGUACAUUAAAGCAUGUAGGCCUCUUCCAGUGUAUAUGUGUAACUUUCGCAGUAAAAUCUGGAUGAAAAAUCAAUAGAAAUUUAGAAUCUUUCUUCAUAGGAACUGUAUGAUCACUUUGGCAGGAGGAAAAAUAAACAUGUGAAAACAACCUCAAGUCAAUAAAAUGUAUGAUCAGUAACAUAUGAUGAGUAUAUAAGUUAUAGCAUGGAUAAUGUUGAUUCUAGCUAAUUACCUUUGAA